rnacentral:rRNA from 1 species
GACGAACGCUGGCGGCGUGCUUAACACAUGCAAGUCGAACGGAAAGGCCCUGCUUUUGUGGGGUGCUCGAGUGGCGAACGGGUGAGUAACACGUGAGUAACCUGCCCUUGACUUUGGGAUAACUUCAGGAAACUGGGGCUAAUACCGGAUAGGAGCUCCUGCUGCAUGGUGGGGGUUGGAAAGUUUCGGCGGUUGGGGUUGGACUCGCGGCUUAUCAGCUUGUUGGUGGGGUAGUGGCUUACCAAGGCUUUGACGGGUAGCCGGCCUGAGAGGGUGACCGGCCACAUGGGGACUGGGAUACGGCCCAGACUCCUACGGGAGGGAGAAGGGGGGAAUAUUGCACAAUGGGCGGAAGCCUGAUGAAGCAACGCCGCGGGGGGGAUGACGGCCUUCGGGUUGUAAACCGCUUUCGCCUGUGACGAAGCGUGAGUGACGGUAAUGGGUAAAGGAGCACCGGCUAACUACGU